rnacentral:lncRNA from 1 species
GUGCCGUCUGCGCUAUUGGAAACUACCUCUUAAAGAUAUUCCUUAGUUCAGGGUUUCUCCAAGCAACUGCACCAAAGUUUCUCCAAAGUAUUAAGAAAAGUCAAUGCCUACUGGGUGUACAGGCACCCAGUAACAAGUUUUUCCGAAAUCUUGCCUCUUUAAAAAAAUAAUGGAAAGGUAAUGCUGAUUUUGUUUUCUACUCCACAAUAGGUCUGCUUUUAUAUAAAAAAUCACCUUUAAAAUUACUUAUCCGCUCAAUUCCUUAGCCUUUUCCGUUUCCUAUUUUCCAGAAAACGCAUCUUUAUUAUUUUAGAAAUGAGAAAAGUGAGGCUUAGAGGUUACUACCUCACAAAGCCAUCCGUCCAUCCUCACAAACUUGGAACCAGUUUCUCACUAACUCUGCACCCUCAACACCCCCUCACACUCUCGGUCACCCACCCGCGAACCCACCCGAACUGUACCCCUGCCCCCAGCCACACAAGCUCGGAUCACCGCACAUCAUAGAAGGCGAUUCCUCCCCUCCAUACUCCCAGCCCCGUCGCAGGCACUGCAAAUCCUCCCCUCCAGCGUCCCUGGCCCGUUUCAGUGUCCAGAAACCCAAGUCCCACAGGGCCGAAACCCAACUCACCGGCAGACAAAGACGACCAUGGCAAGUCGGAGAUUCCGCGCCUGCGCACUCCUUCCGCGGGCAGCGCUCCCAGAGGUCUCCUGGGCUGGGCCAGGCCCCGACUCAGAACCGGACGGAAUCGAGAGAUCUUGGCCCGUCCUCCGUGCCACUCUUUUGAGGGUAGACUACAUUUCCCAGAAGGUUCAGCGGUUUGAGUCAGCUUUUCGCGCGAACUUUUCCUCCGCCAGAGCUUGUGGGACUGUCUCCCUGGCCGGGGCAGGGGUGUAAGGCCUUAGUCUUAGUUUACUCUAUCCCUGGGAUUGGGUAGUGGUGUAACAUCAGCUUAAACACGCUGUGCUGACUUUAUGUAACAGCCACGGUGCGAUACUAAGCCAGGAACCCCAGGAGACUCUCAGACACGGUUCGGGAAUGAGGGUAAUCCCUUUGGCUGGGCUCAAGCCGGGCGCCAUCUUGCUCAUCGCGGGCGUGGCGCUGAACUACAUUUCCCAGAAGGCGCCGCGCCCUCGGCCCCUCCCCUCGCGACUCCCGCGGCUCGGGGGAGAGCUGCACGCGACCCAGGUGCUGGCCUCUGAGCGGGUCGGCUCGGAGACUACAGGAUCAGGAGGAGGUUGGAGGUGAAGCGUCUGGAAUCCGGUGCGGAGGUUGAGACUGAGUAUUAAGUCUGUUCAGGCGGAACGCGCCGAGAAGGGCGGUUGUGAAAUUGUGUUUUUGUGAAUGUAUGUCCUAGCACAGUGUGUGUGUGAUUGUGAUUGUGUGUGACACCUUGUGUACGGAUGUGGGGAGGACUCUGCGGGUGUCCCGUGAGUCCCUGUGUUAGGACUGUUAUUGUGUGACUGUGUAACGCUGUGUGAGGGUGUGGGUUAGCUGUGACUGUGUGCCCGCGGUGGGUGUGUGAUUGUAACUCUGUGACCAUAUGUUCGUUUGUGUGCAGAUAUAGGGAGCUUUGUACUUAUGUAGUUGUGACUCUGUGUCCUUGUGUGGGAGUAUGGAGGGUGGGUGCUUGUGACUUUGUGUACAGUGGUGGGUGUGUGACUGUGAAGCAUUGGGUGUGCGUGGAGUUGAGACUGUGUUUGUGUGUCUUUGACCAAAUGUCACACAUAGUCAUAUGUGAGAGCAGAAGACAGCUCGGCCCCGUGAUAGUAAAGGGGAUUUUUCUAUGACACUGAGUUUUGAGUUGGAAGCCCCAGUUUCCUCUGAUAGCCCUCCCAUGGCGGGGGAGGGGAACGCAGAGUAAGCUCUGGCCUUGUCAUUUGGGCCCUAGGGGAGGUGUAUUGUCUCCCUUCUCAUUUCUGUCCUCCAAGAGAGGUUCCCCAGAGGAGAGGAAAUAACGGUUGUGAUAUCUAAAAGCCAUGUUUAAGGUGCCUUGAAGUUUUCUCUUUGUUCCUGAAAUGCUUUAUUUUUCCAGGACCUGAUUUUUUUUUUUUUUGAGAUGGAGUCUCGCACUGUCGCCCGGGCUGGUGUGCAGUGGCGCGAUCUCGGCUCACUGCAACCUCCGCCUCCCAGGUUCAAGCGAUUCUCCUUCCUCAGCCUACCGAGUAGCUAGGAUUACAGGUGCCGGCCACCACGCCCGGGUAAUUUUUUUGUUGUUGUAUUUUUAGUAGAGACGGGGCUUCACUAUGUUGGCCUGGCUUGUCUUGAACUCCUAACCUUGUGAACCGUCCACCUCGGCCUCCCAAAGUGCUGGGAUUACAGGCAUGAGCCACUGCGCCCGGCUGAUUUUUUUUUUCUUAGCAAAUGCCUAAAAGGACUUAUCAAGUAACCUGGAAUCUUCUGUUACUCUUUGGAAAAAUCUUCCUAAUUUUGUCUUAUUAAUAUAGCAAAUGGUUCAGUUUAUCAUGUAUGCUUAGUUUGGUUUUACCUAUAUACAUAUGUAGAUAUAUAUGCAUAUACAUAAAUAUACAUACACAUAUUUGUAUAUGCACAUAUUGAAAUGUAUCUCAUGUUUUAAGUGAUAUUUUAACUUCCUACAUAAUUGAAAGCUAUUUGAGAAUAUAUUAAAUUGUAGAUACUGUUAAUUGUUUUGCCACAUAUGUGGCUAACCCAAUAUCCAUUCCCUUCUUUAUUGCUAUAAAAGUCCUGAUCUUGUUUGCUCUGCUUAAAGAAAAACAAACAGAAAACAAACAAAAAACCCAAACUCUACGUGUUCUAGCUUCUCCUGUUGAUGUAAGUUAAAGUUCUUAGAUUGGGCUUCUCAGACAGUUUUUUUUUUUUUGAAAUGGAGUCUUCACUCAGUCACCCAAGUUGGAGUGCAGUAGCGUGAUCUCAGCUCACUGCAACCUUCACCUCCCGGGUUCAAGCGGUUCUCCUGCCUCAGGCUCCUGAGUAGCUGGGAUUACAGGCGACUGCCACCAUGCCCGGCUAAUUUUUGUGUUUUUAGUAGAGAUGAGGUUUCCACCAUGUUGGCCAGGCUGGUCUCGAACUCCUGACCUCAGGUGAUCUGCCUGCCUAGGCCUCCCAAAGUGCUGGGAUUACAGGCAUGAGCUACUGCACCUGGCCACUCAGGCAGUUCUUUAAAGGUAUGGGGAUGGGGUGGGGCAGGCUCAGUGUGCAUACAUUCUUUUUCCCCUUUCUGUCUGGAAUGUGGAUAUUGUGCUACAUGCAGAGCAGCUAUCUCAUAACCAUGCAUUUUUUUUUUUUUUUUUUUGAGACAGAAACUUGCUCUGUUGCCCAGUCUGGAGUGCGGUGGCGCAAUCUCAGCUCACUGCAACCUCUGCCUAUUGAGUUCAAGUGAUGCUCCUGCCUCAGCCUCCUGAGUAGCUGGGACUACAGGCGUGCACCACCAUGCCUGGCUAAUUUUUGUAUUUUUAGAAGAGAUGGGGUUUCACCAUGUUGGCCAGGCUGGUCUCAAACUCCUGACCUCAGGUGAUCCGUCUGCCUCGGCCUCCCAAAGUGCUGGGAUUACAGGUGUGAGCCACCAUGCCCGGCCAUAACCAUGCAUUUAUAAUGGAAGGAAGGAGAUGAGAGUUUACAAUGUCAUAUUAAAUGAAAAUAGAGGAUUUUAAGUUAUAUAUGUUGUGUGAAAGCAAUUUGAUUAGAAGAUAUGUAUAUUCUACCUAUCUAUGCAUGAAAUGUGUAGUUGCACUUUAAUUUUCUUCAUUGUAACUAGACUCAAGCUUGUGAAAGAAGGGACUUGUCUUUUUGUUUAGUUGUUCCAUCUUCACCAUUUACAAUGGCUAGCACAUAGUUGGCUCUCAGUAAAUAUUUGAUUAAUGAAAGAAUAGUAAGUAGUUAAUAAAUGAUAGCAGUGCUACUUAGUUUCUUUUUGGUUGCACAGAGGAAACAUGCCCAGAUUGCCUUAGGUUUCUGUUACUCUCUGAGAUUACUCUGUGUUAACUCUACCUCUGGGGUAGUGAAGAGGUAUGCCAAGGGGUGUUAUAAGCCAACAUUCUUCAGACUGGGUAUAAGUUCUUCAUCAUCCAUAGGACUUUUGAUGUUGGGCGAAAGAUAUUCACUGCUUUGAUUAUUUAUUGUUUUCUUUGAUUAUUUAUUAAGUUUCUGUAAAGCAUAAAAUAUAACCAAUUUUUCUCACAUUUAAACUUGAUUAUUAAUUUUGAUUAAUAUAUAUUUCUUUUUUUUUUUUUUUUUUUUUUGAGACAGAGUCUUGCUCUGUUGCCCAUGCUGGAGUGUAGUGGCACACUCUCGGCUCACUGCAACUUCCACCUCCUGGGUGCAAGCGAGUCUCCUGCCUUAGCCUCCUGAGUAGCUGGGAUUACAGGUGCACACCACCACGCCUGGCUAAUUUUUUGUAUUUUUAGUAGAGACGGAGUUUCACCAUGUUGGCCAGGCUGGUCUCGAACUCCUGACCUCAAGCAAUCCGCCCACCUUGGCCUCCCAAAGGGCUGGGAUUACAGGAAUGAGCCACCGCACCCAGCCAAUUCUUUUUUUUUUUUUUUUUUUUUGAGACGGAGUCUCACUCUGUCGUCCAGGCUGGCGUGCAGUGGCACUGUCUCGGCUCACUGCAACCUCUGUGUCCCAGGUUCAAGCGAUUCUCCUGCCUCAGCCUCCCGAGUAGCUGAGAUUACAGGUGCCCACCACCACUCCCGGCUAAAUUUGUAUUUUUAGUAGAGAUGGGGUUUCGCCAUAUUGGCCAGGCUGGUCUCGAACUCCUGACCUCAAGUGAUCUGCCUGCCUUGGCCUCCCAAAGUGCUGGGAUUACAGGCAUGAGUCACCGCACCUGGCCAGAUUUGGAUUCUUAAAUGCCAAUUGAGUUCUUAACAGGGAAAUACUAGAAGCAUUUCCGUUACAUAAGGAAAGAGACAAGAAUAUAUGUAUCACCAUUACUAUUUAACUUUUUUUUUUUUUCUUGAGAUUGAGUUUUGCUCUUGUUGCCCAGGCUGGAGUGCAAAGAUGCGAUCUCGGCUCACCACAACCUCUGCCUCCCAGGUUCAAGGGAUUCUCCUGCCUCAGCCUCCCGAGUAGCUAGGAUUACAGGCUUGCGCCACCAUGCCUGGCUAAUUUUGUAUGUGUAUCAGAGACAGGGUUUCUCCAUGUUGAUCAGGCUGGUCUCCAACUCCUGACCUCAGGUGGUCCACCUGCCUUGGCCUCCCAAAGUGCUGGGGUUACAGGCUUGAGCCACCGCACCCGGCCCUUAACUUUUUUUUUUUUUUUUAAGAGAUGCUUGGUAGAGUAAUUAAACAAGUAAAAAGAUUCAGAGGCAAAAAAAUUCUGAAAAGAGGAAAUAACAAUGACAUUAAAUGCAUAAUUCCAUAGGAAGUAUGUCUGGAAGAUAAAUGUUUAUGUAUAUAUUUUUAAUCACCCUCUGAACCUGAACUUGAGUUAAUCAGACUCAUUUAUCACUAAUCUUUAAAAGGGCUCUAUUGAUCUGUUUCCAACACCAUACUCUACUUCCAUUCUCCUUCUGCUGUAGACACAUUCAAAAUGAUUAAUUUGUUGGACGCGGUGGCUCACGCCUGUAAUCCUAGCACUUUGGGAGGAUGAGGCAGGCGGAUCACCUGAGUUCAGGAGUUUGAGACCAGCCCAUCCAACAUGGCAAAACCCCCAUCUCUACCAAAAAUACAAAAUUAGCCAGGCGUGGUCGUGCACACCUGUAAUCCCAGCUACUCGGGAGGCUGAGGCAGGAGAACUGCUUGAACCUGGGAGAUGGAGGUUCCCGUGAUCGAGGUCAUGGCAUUGCAAUCCAGCCUGGAUGACUGAGUGAGACUCCAACUCAAAAAAAAAAAAAAAAAAAGAUUAAUUUUAUCUUUAUGCUUGAAAAUGUUCUUACAAAGCAUAUAUUUUACAUACGUGUAUUAAAUAUAUAUAUAUAUAAAUGUCUCCUGUUCUUUUUCAGUAAUCAUAGUGUUUUUACAAUUAUCUGUUACUAUGUAAACAUUUAUUUCAAGGCAUUGGUCACGUUACCUACCUACUCUUCCAGGGAAUGGACAUGCAGAUUGCCUUCAUACCCUCCCACCACAGGAAAUGCUGAAAUUAAUAAUCUCAUACAUAUCCCUUUAUGGGCCAGUUUGAGAAUUUCUUAGGUCACAGAAUUUCUGGGUCAUAGGAUAUGAGUUUACUUGACUAAGUGGUGCCAGAUUCUCUCCGGAUUGGUUGUAGGAGUCCAGACUCCCACCAGUAUGGAAUGAGAGUUUCCAUAUCCCACAUCUGUAUGAACACAGCACUGUGUAGCUGUCUCAUAGUUAUCAGUCUAAAAGGUAUAAAGUAGUAUUUCUUUGUAGUAUUAAUGUGCAUUUCUCAUUGCCAGUGAUUUUGAAUAGCUUUUAUGCUUGUUAGCUUUUUCAGCUUGUUUGUAAAUUGCCUUUUGUACCUUUUGUUAAAAUGUAAUUGGGAUUAGUCUUUUUCUUGUUAAUUUGCAAAUGUUUAUGUUUUCUAGAUAUUAACUCUCUGAUAGUUUUAGACUCUGCUGAUACCCUCUUAUGUAUUAUUAUACUUUUUAUUAAACAGAAAUACUUAUUUUAAUAUUAUUGUUAUGUGUUUGUGUAUAUGUAUGUGGCUUAUGGUAUUAUUAUUUAAGAAACAUUUUUCUGGCUGGGCAUGGUGGCUCACGCCUGUAAUCCCAGCACUUUGGGAGGCCAAGGUGAGCGGAUUGCUUGAGGUCAGGAGUUCGAGACCAGCCCGGCCAACAUGGUGAAACCCCAUCUCUACUAAAAAUACAAAAAUUAAUCGGGCGUGGUGGCGGGUGCCUAUAAUCCCAGCUACUCAGGAGGUUGAGUCAGGAGAAUUUCUUGAACCUAGGAGACGGAGGUUGCAGUGAGCCAAGAUCGUGCCACUGCACUCCAGCCUGGGCAACAAGAGCAAAACUCUGUCUCAAAAAAGAGAGAAAAAAAAAAGAAACAUUUUUCUUCUCUAAGGUCACAAAGAAAUUCUUCUACAUUUUUGUCUCUUGACUUUGUAGUUCUACCUUACACAGUUAGGUCUUUAACCUAUUCCAGAGUAAAAUUUUGUAUUUUCAAAAAAAAAACUAUUCUCCCAUAAUUGUCUCUUUCAGCCCUUCUCUGUGAGAUGGUAUUUUUUCCUGCCUCUGGAUGAAAUGUCUGUCAAGUGUCAUUAUAGUCAUUCUUAAGUAAUAAAAAAUCCAGUAGACAAGAUCAGCCUUAAUUUGCUAAAUGAAAUACCUGGUAUAUUACAAUAAUUAGUACUCUGAACUGUUUAAAAUUAAGACUUCUUCCUACAACUGAAUCUUAGGUAAAGAUGGACACCUGCAUGAGGGAAGGAAUAUGUGAGCAGCUUCCAUUUCCCUUCCAUGGUCUUCUCAGCUUCCUCCAACAGUAGAUUGUUCAGCCUCCCUAAAGCAGGAGAAGAGGAAGGGGAAGAAAGGUGUUUUUCCGGGUUUCUAAGCAAAUACCUUGCUGCAGAUCUUCAACUGCAGGGGAGGGCAUGUUGCCAGAACAUCCUGUUUACAGAGGCCACUUAAAAUCCUUACGUUAACCCUAGGCAUACUGUGGUCAUCCUUUUCUGGUGGGUCACAUUGGCCCUCCAGAAGUUCUCUAGAACAGGAUCCAAGAUCUCCUGAGGUCAGCUCACUCCGUAUGGUCCAUAUCCUGUCACCACGUGGGAAUUAAGUUCCUAUCUCUGUUUCUCCUAAAUGGCAGGAAAAAAGGUAAAGUUCUCCUAAGAACUCUCUUAACACACUCCCCUUUGGAUCUUAGAGGGACUGGGAUGGAUCGGGUCAACUUGCUUGGUUUGAUUAGAGGAGGAAACACCCACCUCCUUUCCUCAGGGUGCUGAGAACACACCCACAGCUCUUCCCAAAAAUAGUCUCACCUCACAAAAAGUCCUCUUCCUCAGCCUCCCCAGCCUCUCACAUGUCCUUGAGGUAUGUUGAACUGUAGCAAAAAUUGUUUAUAGCCAGUUUCUUUUUUUUAAUUUUAAUUUUUUAAAAUAUGGUCAGCUGGGCGCAGUGGCUGCCUGUAACCCCAGCAAUUUGGGAGGGUGAGGCGUGCGAAUCACCUGAGGUCAGGAGUUCGAGACCAGCCUGACCAACAUGGAGAAACCCCAUCUCUACUAAAAAUACAAAAUUAACCAGGCAUGGUGGCACAUGCCUGUAAUCCCAGCUACUCAGGAGGCUGAGGCAGGAGAAUUGCUUGAACCCCGGAGGCAGCGGUUGCAGUGAGCUGAGAUCGUGCCAUUGCACUCCAGCCUGGAUGACAAGUCUCAAAAAAAAAAAAGAAAAGAAAAGAAAAAAAAAGAUAGGGUCUUGCUCUGUACUCCAGGCAACCUUGGCUCACUGCAGCCUCAACCUCCUGGACUCAAGUAGUCCUCCCACCUCAGCCUCCUGAGUAGCUGGGACUACAAGCACAUGUCACCACAUCUGGCUAAUUUUUAUAGUUUUUUCCUAGACGGCACCCGGCCUAGAAAGCAAUUUUAAACAAUGAGAAAUUUCAAGAAGGUGACUGGAUAUAAAAUAUGCCAAAAUAGUACACAUAAUGUAUAUGAUAUACAUAUAUAUAUGAAAACAACAAAUAGAAGAUUCAAUUGAGAAAGUUUUAAAAGACCCCAGCAAUGAUAGACAUAAAAAUAUGUUACUAAGGAAUAAAAUUAGCAAGAAUUGGUAUACCUUAUGAAGAGAACUUGAAUAUGGAGGGACUAAUCAGAAAACAAGUGAAAAAGCAUAGUAUAGGAUGCCUCAAACUCCUAAGGGUUUAAAACUUAAUUUGUAAUAAUUUAAUGUGAUCCCAAUCUGAUAAUUAUUUUAUUAAUAAAUUAAUAAUUGUUUUAUUAAAGACAAGUUAAUUCUGAAGUUCAUGUGGAAAAGUCAAUAUGGCAGAAUAGCCAGGAAAAUUCUGAAAAAGAGUAAUUCAGAACAUUUACUCUACCAUAUGUUUAAACAUAAAAUAAUAGCCUUGGCUGGGUGUGGUGGUUUAUACCUGUAAUCACUAAAAGCACUUCGAGAGGCUGAGGUAGAUGGAUCAUUUGAGCCCAGGAGUUUGAGACCAGCCUGGGCAACAUAAUGAAACACCAUCUCUACAAAAAAUACAGAAAUUAGCUGGGUAUGUUGACACAUGCAUAUAGUCUCAGCCAUCCUCCCAAAUGCUUUGGGAGGCUAAGGCGGGAGGAUGGCUUGAGCCUGGGAGGUCAAGACUGCAGUGAGCUGUGAUUGUACUACUGAAUUUCACCCUGGGUGACAGAGUGAGACCGUCUCAAAAUAAAAUAAAAUAAAAUAAAAUAAAAUAAAAUAAAAUAAAAGUCUUAAAAUAGCAUGGUUCUGACAGAUGAGCAGACGGAUCAGUGGAGUGGAAGAGAAACUCCAGACCCAGUAGGUAGUGCAGUAUUCUUCAUAUGGUAAAGACAGCAUUUCUAAUUAGGGGCACACAUAUGGAUUUAGUACUUCGUUUAUAAUAUACAACUGUAUAUUGUAACCAUUGUAGAGGGGAAGAAAAUAGGUCGUUAACAUUUCAUAUCUAUUAUUCCAAGUGGAUCAGAGAUUCAAAUGUGAAAUAUGAAAUCAUAAAAAUUCUCGAAAUAAUGUGGAAAAAAUGUUAGCCUCAGGACAUGGAAAUCAUUCUAAGUCUAACACAAAUCCUAGAACCCAUAAUUGAAAAUAAUAAUAAAUUUUUUUUUUUUUGAGACAGAGUGUCGCUCUGUUGCCCAGGCUGGAGUGCAGUGGUGCGAUCUCGGCUCACUGCAAGCUCCGCCUCCCGGGUGCACGCCAUUCUCCCACCUCAGCCUCCGGAGUAGCUGGCACUACAGGCGCCCGUCACCACGCCGGCUAAUUUUUUGUAUUUUUAGUAGAGAUGGGGUUUCACCAUGUUAGCCAGGAUGGUCUCGAUCUCCUGACCUCGUGAUCCACCCACCUCGGCCUCCCAAAGUGCUGGGAUUACAGGUGUGAGCCACCACGCCCGGCCUAAAUUAAUUUUUUUACUUGGCAAAAACUAUUAAUGCUAAAAUUCCAAAAGAUAAUUGAUAGCCUGGGAAAACUUACCUGCAACAUAUAUCCCAGAAAAAGUUAAUUUUAAUGAAAUGAAAGUACUGCAUAUCUAAUAAGGAGGAAAAAUAAUCAAAAAGAAAAUAAGCAAGGGAUACAGAGAUGGUUCAUAGAAAAGGAACAAAAAAUCGCCUUUUGGUAUGCAUGUUUUCAUCUGUUUGGACUAUCAUAACAAAAUAUCACAAACUGAGUAGCUUAAAAAACAUAAAUUUAUUUUCUUAUAGUUUUGAAGGCUGGAAGUUCAAGAUAGGGGUGCCAGUACAGUUGAUUUCUGGUGAAGGGCUGUCUUCCUGACUUGUAGAUGGCCACUUGCUUUUUGUGUCUUGACAUGGCUGUUAUUCCGCAUGUGGGAGGAGAGAAAGAAAUCUCUGGUGUCUCUUCCUCUUCUUGUAAGAACACUAUCAGAUUAGGUUCCCACACUUACAACUUUCAUUUAAGCUUAAUAUCUCCUUAAAGGUCCUAUCUCCAAAUCCAGUUCCAUCAGUCAUUAGGGCUUUAACAUGAAAUACGGGUAGACACAUUUCAGGGUACAAUAAUGUGAAAAGAUAAUUAUCCUCGCUGAUAGGAAUAAAAUAUAAAUUAAACCUACAAUUUUUACCUAGUAAAAGUUUAAUGUGAACUAGAUUUUUUCAGAUGUAAGGCCAGGUGUGGUGACUCAUGCCUGUAAUCCCAGCACUUUGGGAGGCCAAGUGGGCAGAUCAUUUGAGGUCAGGAGUUCGAGACCAACCUGGCCAACAUGAUGAACCUCUGUCUAUAGUAAAAAUACAAAAAUUAGCCGGGAGUGGUGGCAUGUACUUGUAGUCUCAGCUACUCAGGAGGCUGAGGCAGGAGAAUCACAUGAACCCAGGAAGAGAGGUUGCAGUGAGCUGAGAUCAUGCCACUGCAUUCCAGCCACCUUUUUUCCCCAAUAGUGAUAUGGUUCAGGUCUGUGUACCCACCCACAUCUCAUGUCAAAUUGUAAUCCCCAGUGUUGGAGGUGGGGCCUGGUGGGAGGUGAUUGGAUCAUGGGGUCAGAUUUCCUCCUUGGUGCUGCUUUCAUGAUACUGAGUGAAUGCUUCCUGUCGAGCCAUGAGCCAAUUAAAUCUCUUUUCUUUAUAAAUUACCCAGUCUCAGGUAUUUAUUUAUAGCAGCGUGAAGAAUGAAGUAAUACAAAUGGCUUUUGAGGUACAUGUGGUUUUUGGUUAUGUGGAUGAAUUGUAUAGUGGUAAAGUUUAAGAUUUUAACUUUCGCGGUGGCUAACGCCUGUAAUCCCAGUACUUUGGGAGGCCGAGGCAGGUGGAUCACGAGAUCAGGAGAUUGAGACCAUCCUGGCUAACAUGGUGAAACCCUGUCUCUACUAAAAAUACAAAAAAUUAGCCAGGCAUGGUGGCGGGCACCUGUAGUCCCAGCUACUUGGGAGGCUGAGGCAGGAGAAUGGUGUGAGGCGGAGGCGGAGCUUGCAGUGAGUCUAGAUAGCACCACUGCACUCCAGGCACUUGUAACAGAGCAAGACUCCGUCUCAAAAAAAAAAAAAAAAAAAAGAUUUUAACUUUUUAAGAAACUGCCAAGUUAGAAAAUUAAAGAAACUAGAAAAGAGCAACUAAAUCCAAAGCAAGCAAAAGAAAAACAAUAAAGAUCACAAUGGAAAUCAAAGAAACAGAAGACAUUAAGACACAUACUAGAAAAUGUCUGAAACCAAAAGGUAGUUAUUUGAAAAGAUAACUUGACAAGCAAACUUGACAAGCAAAAAAGAACACAAAUUACCAAAAUCAGAAAUGAAAGAAGGGAAAUCACUAUCAAAAACCUACAAAAUUUAAACUUUAUGCUAACAAAUUAGGCAAACUAGAUAAAAGGGAAACAUUUCUGGUAAGUCAUAAACUAUGAGAACCAACUGGAAGAAAUUUCAAAACUUGAAUAGACCUAUAACUAAAAAAGGACUUUAUUAAAAUUUUCCAUGAAGAAUAGCCCAUAAAUAGAAAUCUAUGAAAUAUUUAAAGAAAAAAUAAUACCAAUACUUCACAAAUUCUUUCAGGAAACAGACAAGGGAAAGGAAACAAUUCUGAGGUCAUACUAUGAGGCCAGUAUUAAGCCUAUACCAAAGGCAGAUUUUAAAUAUCAAAAGAAAGGCCAGGUACAGUGGCUCAUGCCUGUAAUCCCAGCACGUUGGGAGACCGAGGCGGGUGGAUCACGAUAUCAGAAGUUUGUGACCAGCCUGGCCAACAUGGGAAAACCCUGUCUCUACUAAAAAUACAAAAAUUAGC